GCCGACGUAGCUCAGUGGUAGAGCACUUCCUUGGUAAGGAAGAGGUCACGGGUCCAAUUCCCGUUGUCGGCU
rnacentral:tRNA from 1 species